rnacentral:lncRNA from 1 species
CCAAUCUGACCCGUGUUCGAUCCGCCAUAAACAGGUUUGGGUUUAGGCUAAAUGGGUUUGGGUCAUAAAUGGAUCGACCCAUUUAAUCCAUUUAAUAAUUGGAUCGGAUAUGGAUUUUAGAUAUCUGAUCCGUUUAACUCGUUUAACCCGUUUAAUAUUUAAGUUGGGUUGAGUCAGAUAACUCAUUUAACCUGUUUAACCUAUUUAACCUAUUUCUAACCCAUUUAACCCAACUUGUUUAACCUGUUU